rnacentral:rRNA from 1 species
GACGAACGCUGGCGGCGUGCUUAACACAUGCAAGUCGAACGGAAAGGCCCUGCUUUUGUGGGGUGCUCGAGUGGCGAACGGGUGAGUAACACGUGAGUAACCUGCCCUUGACUUUGGGAUAACUUCAGGAAACUGGGGCUAAUACCGGAUAGGAGCUCCUGCUGCAUGGUGGGGGUUGGAAAGUUUCGGCGGUUGGGGAUGGACUCGCGGCUUAUCAGCUUGUUGGUGGGGUAGUGGCUUACCAAGGCUUUGACGGGUAGCCGGCCUGAGAGGGUGACCGGCCACAUUGGGACUGAGAUACGGCCCAGACUCCUACGGGGGGCAGCAGUGGGGAAUAUUGCACAAUGGGCGGAAGCCUGAUGCAGAAACGCCGCGUGCGGGAUGACGGCCUUCGGGUUGUAAACCGCUUUCGCCUGUGACGAAGCGUGAGUGACGGUAAUGGGUAAAGAAGCACCGGCUAACUACGUG